AGGGGAAAGAGAGAGGAGUCGUUUAUGCAGUAUCAACAAAGAGAUACGAAAUAAAUAUGCAUAUAUUUCAAACCUAUGUGUAGCGAAAGCAGCACGUCGUCAGGGUAUUGCUAGCAAUAUGUUGAAGUUUGCAGUUGUAACAGCGAGAUUCAGUGGUAUUGAACAGGUAUACGUGCAUGUACAUAGAAACAAUUUGCCCGCCCAAGCGUUGUACCAAAAGAUAGGCUUUGAGGUGGUAGAAAUAGCAAGUUCGCAGUUGGUGGAAGAACAAACUUACCUACUAUGUAUUAACACAGGGAAGCUUAACAAUGUACAUUUAUGUUGAUAUCCA
rnacentral:misc_RNA from 1 species